rnacentral:rRNA from 1 species
CGAUGGCGACCGGAGCACGGGUGAGUAACACGUAUCCAACCUGCCGAUAACUCCGGAAUAGCCUUUCGAAAGAAAGAUUAAUACCGGAUAGUAUACGAAUAUCGCAUGAUAUUUUUAUUAAAGAAUUUCGGUUAUCGAUGGGGAUGCGUUCCAUUAGUUUGUUGGCGGGGUAACGGCCCACCAAGACUACGAUGGAUAGGGGUUCUGAGAGGAAGGUCCCCCACAUUGGAACUGAGACACGGUCCAAACUCCUACGGGAGGCAGCAGUGAGGAAUAUUGGUCAAUGGGCGAGAGCCUGAACCAGCCAAGUAGCGUGAAGGAUGAAGGCUCUAUGGGUCGUAAACUUCUUUUAUAUGGGAAUAAAGUUUUCCACGUGUGGAAUUUUGUAUGUACCAUAUGAAUAAGGAUCGGCUAACUCCGUGCCAGCAGCCGCGGGUAAUACGGAGGAUCCGAGCGUUAUCCGGAUUUAUUGGGGUUUAAAGGGAGCGUAGGUGGAUUGUUAAGUCAGUUGUGAAAGUUUGCGGCUCACCCGUAAAAUUGCAGUUGAAACUGGCAGUCUUGAGUACAGUAAAGGUGGGCGGAA